UAACAAGGAUUCCCCUAGUAACUGCGAGUGAAGCGGGAAGAGCUCAAAUUUGGAAUCUGGCGGUCUUCGGCCGUCCGAGUUGUAAUCUGGAGAAGCGUUUUCCGCGCUGGACCGUGCACAAGUCUCCUGGAACGGAGCGUCAUAGAGGGUGAGAAUCCCGUCCAUGGCACGGACGCCCAGUGCUUUGUGAUACGCUCUCGAAGAGUCGAGUUGUUUGGGAAUGCAGCUCAAAAUGGGUGGUAAAUUCCAUCUAAAGCUAAAUAUUGGCGAGAGACCGAUAGCGAACAAGUACCGUGAGGGAAAGAUGAAAAGCACUUUGGAAAGAGAGUUAAACAGUACGUGAAAUUGUUGAAAGGGAAACGCUUGAAGUCAGUCGCGUCCGGCAGAACUCAGCCUUGCCUCGGCCUGGUGUACUUUCUGUCGGACGGGUCAACAUCAGUUUGGACCGGUGGAAAAAGGCAAGGGGAAUGUAGCGCCGCUUCGGCGGCGUGUUAUAGCCCCUCGUCGUAUACAUCGGUACGGACUGAGGACCGCAGCACGCCCUUGUGGCCGGGGGUUCGCCCCACGUACCGUGCUUAGGAUGUUGGCAUAAUGGCUUUAAGCGACCCGUCUUGAAACACGGACCAAGGAGUCCAACAUGCUUGCGAGUGUUCGGGUGGAAAACCCUUGCGCGUAAUGAAAGUGACAGUUGGGAGCCUCCGCAAGGGGGUGCACCGACGCCCGGCCCUGACGUUCUCUGACGGUGCUGCGGUAGAGCAAGUAUGCUGGGACCCGAAAGAUGGUGAACUAUGCCUGAAUAGGGCGAAGCCAGAGGAAACUCUGGUGGAGGCUCGUAGCGAUUCUGACGUGCAAAUCGAUCGUCAAAUUUGGG
rnacentral:rRNA from 1 species